GCUUACCGUAUCUAUUAUGAAGUUUUCCAUAUUUGAACCAUCCUGACAAAACUGAAACCUGACAGAUUAUUGUUGUCAAUGGUGACUGACUUCUUCCAGCAUAUGAACAAAUUUGGGAAGGAACAUACACUGGACCUGGUCCAGUCAAGGGCUAUUUUGACCACUACAUCUGAAUCCAUCCAUAUCAACACUGCAAUAUUAAAUGAAUAAUGGACCCAUAAUUAUGCGUCACAUAUU